rnacentral:rRNA from 1 species
UACGAGGGGGCGAGCGUUGUUCGGAAUUAUUGGGCGUAAAGGGUGCGUAGGCGGUUUGGUAAGUCUUAUGUGAAAUCUUUGGGCUUAACCCGAAAACUGCCAUUGAUACUAUCUGUCUUGAAUAUUGUGGAGGUUUGCGGAAUAUGUCAUGUAGCGGUGAAAUGCUUAGAGAUGACAUAGAACACCUAUUGCGAAGGCAGCAAACUACGCAUAUAUUGACGCUGAGGCACGAAAGCGUGGGGAUCAAACAGG